AAUUCUCAAUCUCUCAUCCUUUGUGAUGGGUUGGUUGGAUCAUGGGUGCUUGCUGGCCUUGUCAGCUCACCUGAAAUGAAUUUGCGAUGUUGUGUCCUUGUGAGUUGGCCCGACUAGGCGUGAUGGUGAUAACGUUCGUCUAGGAUCCUUGCUUCGGCGAGGAGCCGCUCCUGUUGGGCUUUGUCGUUGCACUCUUUUUUACAUCUUUGG
rnacentral:misc_RNA from 1 species